rnacentral:rRNA from 1 species
AGUGAACGCUGGCGGUAGGCCUAACACAUGCAAGUCGAACGGCAGCACAGUAAGAGCUUGCUCUUACGGGUGGCGAGUGUCGGACGGGUGAGGAAUACAUCGGAAUCUACUUUUUCGUGGGGGAUAAUGUAGGGAAACUUACGCUAAUCCCGCAUACGACCUCCGUGUGAAAGCAGGGGAUCUUCUGACCUUGCGCUAUUGAAUGAGCCGAUGUCGGCUUCGCUCGUUGGCGGGGUAAAGGCACACAAAGGCGACGAUCCGUAGCUGGUCUGAGAGGAUGGUCAGCUACAUGGGAAGUGAGAAAGGGCAGAGACUCCUACGGGAGGCAGCAGUCGGGAAUACUGGACAAUGGACGAGAGCCUGAUCCAGGCAUACCGCGUGGAUGAAGAAGGCCUUCGGGUUGUAAAGCCCUUUUGUUGGGAAAGAAAAACAGCAGGUUAAUACCCCGCUGUUCUGACGGUACCCAAAGAAUAAGCACCGGCUAACUUCGUG